AGCGCUACCUUCGGGUGGAGCGGCGGACGGGUUAGUAACGCGUGGGAAUAUACCCUUCACUAUGGAAUAGCCUCGGGAAACUGAGAGUAAUACCAUAUACGCCCUUCGGGGGAAAGAUUUAUCGGUGAAGGAUUAGCCCGCGUAAGAUUAGAUAGUUGGUGGGGUAAUGGCCUACCAAGUCUACGACCUUUAGCUGGUUUUAGAGGAUGAUCAGCAACACUGGGACUGAGACACGGCCCAGACUCCUACGGGAGGCAGCAGUGGGGAAUCUUAGACAAUGGGCGAAAGCCUGAUCUAGCCAUGCCGCGUGAGUGAUGAAGGUCUUAGGAUCGUAAAGCUCUUUCGCUAGGGAUGAUAAUGACAGUACCUAGUAAAGAAGCCCCGGCUAACUCCGUGCCAGCAGCCGCGGUAAUACGGAGGGGGCUAGCGUUGUUCGGAAUUACUGGGCGUAAAGCGUACGUAGGCGGAUCAGAAAGUAUGGGGUGAAAUCCCAGGGCUUAACCCUG
rnacentral:rRNA from 1 species